GUGUACCUAUGAUGAAAAUUACAGGCCUCUCUCAUCUUUUUAAAGUGGGAGAACUUGCACAAUUGGUGGCUGACAAUACUUUUUUGCCCCACUUGUUAAUCACUACACUCGGUAACAGCCUAAGCAUUACGGAACUUCUAUUCAAUCAAAUAAACCUCAGCAAAUAAGCCAUUACAUUUUUGUUGUUGACCAAAUCCAACAGUCUCAUUGACGUGAGCGCAUAAGAGAGAACUCCAGGCAGAUUUUGGGCCUAGUUAUCCCUCUCGCUUUGCCUCUUCCUCUCUGGUCCGCAGCAUGGCCGGGUUCACGUUAGGGAACUGCUGCUGCUUCUUCCAAGGUUAACACACAUGCAUUAUAGGCCCACUUCUUGAUGAUUUAUAUAAACAACUCACAAAGUCAUGUAUUCAGUCUGUUCAAGUUAAUUAGCACAAAUUAGGAUGUUGUCACACCCUGGCCUUAGUUAUCUUUGUUUUCAUUAUUAUUUUAGUUAGGUCAGGGUGUGACAUGUUGAAGUAUGUGUUUUUUGUAUUGUCUAGGGUGUUGUUUACUUUAGGAGGUAGUCACCAUAACUACAGGGUAGAGGGGAAGGUCAUGUUGAUUUAACCGUGAUGUAUGGUAGAGGGGUAGAGGGGUAGGUCAUGUUGAUUUAACUGUGAUGUAUGGUAGAGAGGUAGGUCAUGUUGAUUUAACUGUGAUGUAUGGUAGAGGGGUAGAGGGGUAGGUCAUGUUGAUUUAACUGUGAUGUAUGGUAGAGGGGUAGGUCAUGUUGAUUUAACCUUGAUGUAUGGUAGAGGGGUAGAGGGGUAGGUCAUGUUGAUUUAACUGUGAUGUAUGGUAGAGGGGUAGAGGGGUAGGUCAUGUUGAUUUAACUGUGAUGUAUGGUAGAGGGGUAGAGGGGUAGGUCAUGUUGAUUUAACUGUGAUGUAUGGUAGAGGGGUAGAUGGGAAGGUCAUGUUGAUUUAACUGUGAUGUAUGGUAGAGGGGUAGGUCAUGUUGAUUUAACUGUGAUGUAUGGUAGAGGGGUAGAUGGGAAGGUCAUGUUGAUUUAACUGUGAUGUAUGGUAGAGGGGUAGGUCAUGUUGAUUUAACUGUGAUGUAUGGUAGAGGGGUAGGUCAUGUUGAUUUAACUGUGAUGUAUGGUAGAGGGGUAGAGGGGUAGGUCAUGUUGAUUUAACUGUGAUGUAUGGUAGAGAGGUAGAGGGGUAGGUCAUGUUGAUUUAACUGUGAUGUAUGGUAGAGGGGUAGGUCAUGUUGAUUUAACUGUGAUGUAUGGUAGAGGGGUAGAGGGGAAGGUCAUGUUGAUUUAACUGUGAUGUAUGGUAGAGGGGUAGGUCAUGUUGAUUUAACUGUGAUGUAUGGUAGAGGGGUAGAGGGGUAGGUCAUGUUGAUUUAACUGUGAUGUAUGGUAGAGGGGUAGAGGGGUAGGUCAUGUUGAUUUAACCGUGAUGUAUGGUAGAGAGGUAGAGGGGUAGGUCAUGUUGAUUUAACUGUGAUGUAUGGUAGAGAGGUAGGUCAUGUUGAUUUAACCGUGAUGUAUGGUAGAGGGGUAGAUCAUGUUGAUUUAACCGUGAUGUAUGGUAGAGGGGUAGGUCAUGUUGAUUUAACUGUGAUGUAUGGUAGAGGGGUAGGUCAUGUUGAUUUAACUGUGAUGUAUGGUAGAGGGGUAGGUCAUGUUGAUUUAACUGUGAUGUAUGGUAGAGGGGUAGGUCAUGUUGAUUUAACUGUGAUGUAUGGUAGAGGGGUAGGUCAUGUUGAUUUAACUGUGAUGUAUGGUAGAGGGGUAGAGAGGUAGGUCAUGUUGAUUUUCUUUUUCUCUGCAACGCCCAGGGCGACGAUAUACAACACACCUCGCCAUCCCUCGCCUCCUGUCCCAUGUCAAAACAGAUGGCUUUUGGGUUAGAGAGGGUUUUUAGAAAUGGGUUGAGGUAAAGCCACUUGUGCAGAUUUUUCCACAUUCUCUGGUGUAUGGACCAUUGGUCAAUAUUACUCCAUUUGAGGCCACAUCCCUUCAGAUCAGUGUUGGUAUUAUUUUUCCUCGUUUCCCAUAACCUCUUAUUUAAUAUACAGUACUACAAGGCUCUGGUUAUUCCAAUAGUACAUACCAUUGAACUAGAAUACUAAUUAGUCCUUUAAUAGGAUCUCAUUUGUUCAUAUAGUUCAAAUAUAUGUGUUAAGUCACUCCUAUGGUAUGUAUGUAUGUACAGUGCAUUUGUAAAGUAUUCAGACUUAAAAACUUUUUCACCUGUUUAUAUUAAGGUCCCACAGUUGACAGUGCAUGUCAGAGCAAAAACCAAGCCAUGAGGUUGAAGGAAUUGUCCGUAGAGCUCCGAGACAGGAUUUUGUCGAGGCACAGAUCUGGGGAAGGGUACCAAAAAAUGUCUGCAGCAUUGACGAUCCUCAAGUACACAGUGGCCUCCAUCAUUCUUAAAUGUAAGAAGUUUGGAACCACCAAGACUCUUCUUAGAGCUGGCCGCCCGGACAAACUGAGCAAUCGGGGAGAAUGGCCUUGGUCAGGGAGGUCACCAAGAACCUGAUGGUCACUCUGACAGAGCUCUAGAGCUCCUCUGUGGAGAUGGGAGAACCUUCCAGAAGGACAACCAUCUCUGCAGCACUCCACCAAUCAGGCUUUUAUGGUCGAGUGGCCAGACGGAAGCCACUCCUCAGUAAAAGGCACAUGACAGUCAACUUUUGCCAAAAGGCACCUGAAGGACUCAGACCAUGACAAACAAGAUUCUCUGGUCUGAUGAAACCAAUAUUGAACUCUUUGGCCAACCGUCACAUCUGGACGAAAUCUGGCACCAUCUCUACAGUGAAGCAUGGUGGUGCAGUGGCAGGGACUGGGAGACUAGUCAGGAUCGAGAUAAAGAUUAAUGGAGCAAAGUACAGAGAGAUGCUUGAUGAAAACCUGCUCCAGAGCGCUCAGGACAAUGACCCUAAGCACACAGCCAAGACAACACAUGAGUGGCUUCAGGACAAGUCUCUGAAUGUCCUUGACUGGCCCAGCCAGAGCCCGGACUUGAACCCGAUCAAACAUCUCUGGACAGACCUGAAAAUAGCUGUGCAGCGACACUCCACAUCCAACCUGACAGAGCUUGAGAGGAGCUGCAUAGAAAAUGGGAGAAUGGGAUACAGGUGUGCCAAGCUUGUAGCGUCAUACCCAAGAAGACUUGAGGCUGUAAACCCUGGCAAAGGUGCUUCAACAAAGUACUGAGUAAAGGGUCUGAAUAUUUAUUUAAAAGCGAUAUUUCAGUUGUUUUUUUUAUAAAUUUGCAAAUAUUUCUAAACCUGUGUUUGGUUUGUCAUUAUGGGGUAUUGUGUGUAGAUUGAUGAGGGAAACAAACAAUUGAAUCCAUUUUAGAAUAAGGCUGUAUUGUUAAAAAAUGGCUGAAUACUUUCCGAAUGUGCUGUAUACCUAGUUAUGUGAAAUCAAUUUUGUUAUAACCCCCAUUCCUAUAGUAUGGGUUGACUUCAUUUAAAAAAAAAUAUAUAUAUGUAUGUUUUUAAUUAAACCAUACAAAACAUCCACAUACAAACGACAGAAUACAGAUGCACACAAACAUCCACAACAUCACCCCUGUUCAGACCAUCACAACAUCACCCCUGUUCAGACCCAUCACAACAUCACCCCUGUUCAGACCCAUCACAACAUCACCCCUGUUCAGACCCAUCACAACAUCACCCCUGUUCAGACCCAUCACAACAUCACCCCUGUUCAGACCCAUCACAACAUCACCCCUGUUCAGACCCAUCACAACAUCACCCCUGUUCAGACCCAUCACAACAUCACCCCUGUUCAGACCAUCACAACAUCACCCCUGUUCAGACCAUCACAACAUCACCCCUGUUCAGACCCAUCACAACAUCACCCCUGUUCAGACCCAUCGCAACAUCACCCCUGUUCAGACCCAUCACAACAUCACCCCUGUUCAGACCCAUCACAACAUCACCCCUGUUCAGACCCAUCACAACAUCACCCCUGUUCAGACCAUCACAACAUCACCCCUGUUCAGACCCAUCACAACAUCACCCCUGUUCAGACCCGUCACAACAUCACCCCUGUUCAGACCCAUCACAACAUCACCCCUGUCAAAACCCAUCACAACAUCACCCCUGUUCUGUUUUUUAACGAUAAACUGGAAAUCGACCAAUCCUCUAAGUUUACAUUUGUUUUUUCAAGAUAAUUGACAAGAGAAAGUCCUACCCCGUUGGGUAUCGUGCUGUACCCUCAUAUGCCAUGUGUUGAAAUAGGCAGACCGAUGGAUUUAAAGUACAUUUAUAUUGUAAUACUUCCUACAGCAAACGUUCUAACUCACCCAUAACUUUAUGACAUCACAGAAGGUGUGGAUUAUUGAGUCAUUGUUAGUUUAAACGUAAGACGUGACUCUGCCGUUGUGCUGUAGAAUUUGUGAAAUUUGUCCCUUGUGUAAUAAUACAUUCUUUACGUUAGUUUAUUCUGGAUUAAGUGUACAUUUUUACUUAACUGUAAUUUAGAUAGUUCUGCUCCAACUUUCCGAUAAUCUUGUGUCAACGUCAGUUUCUUUUGGAAGUCUUGGUUGCAGUAGUUCAUCUUUUUUUUUUCUAAGAGAUUGUCAGUUGGAUAGGCUCUCUGCAAGGUUUUGUAUAUCUUCCCUAUUGUAUGAACAUCCUGUUCCGACUCGAAUACGAUUCCCUCAAGGUUGCUCUGUCUAAAAUAUUUCUAAUCAAAAUGUCUUUAUGUAACUUUUUUUACAUUGCAAGUGUUUUUGAAAAUAUCUACGUUGGUCAAUCCAAAAUUGGUUUGAAUCAUUUCCUGGAAAUAAAUGUAUGACCUGUUACCAAGUCAUUUACGGGUUUCUAUGCCUUUUAGUUUUCCUUGUAGACACUUUAUCAGUGAAUUCUGAAAAGUUAUGGUUAUAUUAUAAGUUAUGUGUUUUUUUAGGAACUGGUUCUUGUAGAAUAGGGAAACAACAUCUAGUUCCAUAUGGUUAUCGUGUUCUUAACUAUGAAGUUGUUCAUGAUCUUAGUUUUAUCCGUAGACAAAAGACACGUAAAAAGAUUCUGGGGACGAGCAUGUUCAUCUCCAAUAUGUCACGAUCGUGUGGAGGAUUGACGGACCAAAACGCAGCUUUAGGAAAAUAAGCCAUCUCCUUUUUAUUUACGAAGAAGGCAAACGAGACAAAAACACUUAAACACUAAACAAAACAAGAAAACGAUCGUGAAGCUAAACAACGAUGUGCACACACUGGCUACAAACGUAUCACAUAGACAACUACUCACAACAAAUGAAAGCCUAUGGCUACCCUAAAUAAGGCUCCCAAUCAGAGACAACCGAAAUCAGCUGUCUCUAAUUGGGAACUCAUUCAGGUAACCAUAGACUCUCCUAGACAACUAAACAUACAUAGACAACGCUAGACACAUGUACUCAACACAAACCCAUAUACUACACCCAACAACCCCUUUACCAUAGAAACACCCAAAACCAACAAAACACAAACAUUCCCCAUGUCACAC